rnacentral:rRNA from 1 species
UGCCAGCAGCCGCGGUAACACGGGGGGCGCAAGCGUUAUUCGGAAUUACUGGGUUUAAAGGGUGCGCAGGCGGCUUGUUAAGUUCGUGGUAAAAUCGUACGGCUCGACCGUAUCUCUGCCAUGGAUACUGGCAAGCUUGAGUCCGUCAGAGGGAAUUGGAAUGCGUGGUGUAGCGGUGAAAUGCAUAGAUAUCACGCAGAACACCGAUUGCGAAGGCAGAUUCCUAUGGCGGUACUGACGCUCAGGCACGAAAGCGUGGGGAGCGAACAGGAUUAGAUA